ensembl:lncRNA novel transcript, antisense to ITGA2
AUCCAAGGGGAUAUUUUACUUUGGAUUAGAAACUUAUUGUAUCUACAUGCACGUAAAAAUUUUCCAAGUCUAUAGUAUAUAAAUAUAAAUAUUGUUUCUUAUAUUGUUUAGUUCCAGGCCACGGACAACACAAGGUGCUUGGUGAGCUCUAAAUGGUACCUGCUUUCUGCUGGUAAACAUAAAAUGAAUUUGUGAUGGAAAGAAUUCACCCGUGAAGGCUGCCCGUCUCUGGGAAGAAGGAAGACAGAUUGUUUGUGAUAAGAAUUGCAUCAUCCACAUUGGAACAUCCUGUGUGUGAAGUGAGGGCUCUGAAGCGGGAUGGCCCUCCGCCUACACCGAAAAGAGAACAGACCACAGCCUUACUUACAGCCAGAGGGCUGCCCAGAGAAUUUUGAGGUUCCAGGGGACAAGUAUAUCUCACAGCUGGAAAGAGGAAAGGAUGAAGACAAAAUUUGAACACAAGACUUAAAACAACUAAAUUAUCUCUAAGUAUUCUUAAGUAAUUUGAGUUAUAUUUGUCCUUCCCAAAACAACAAGACUCUAAGCCACCCAAGGGCAAGGGCUGAAGGGUAUCAUCUAUUUAUUCUGAAUCACCUUGAACAUCUUGACAUGGACUCUAUAUGAAACAUCUGUCGAAAAGGCAUUGAUGACUACAUCAAAGGAGAUAGAAAAUCACAGCUCCUUGAAAAUUGUUAUCAUUUUCUUUCAGAAGUGAUCAUUAUCAUUUUUGAGGAUGAAAAUGUAGGGAUUGGUGUCAUAUCUUUUUUAUUCCAGUGGGAACUGUCAAAAGUGUUUUGUUUUUGAUGCUUCUUUCUGAAUGAUUGAGAAAUGCUAAUCAUUUCAAAAAACAGAACAAAGACCAAGGCAUAUAAAGCCUUGAUAGAUUUUAUUUUAUUUUUUUUGAAAAUUCUUAUUUCUGAUGGAAAGGGAAUGAAGGAAAGGAAUAAGGCAAAUCAUGUUUCUCUGUAUGACACUGACAGCAUUAAUGCUGCCAGUUCUUCAUCCUACAGAAAGAAGGUUGUGUGGAUAUUAAUGCUCUCUCUGGAGAUGGGAAUAUGCCUCAUGUUGCUUAAGAUCAAUAUUUACCUUCGCAGACACUGAAGACAGAAUGGACUCUUUAAAAUUGACAUCAAAGUUCCAUUAACAUGUGCUUUCACAAAGAAAUGUCCUACUUUCUAGGCAGCAUUGCAAGUGCAUGGUAUUUCAUAUGUCUAUUGUUUUAGGCACUGAAAGGCCGGAAGAAAAAGGCUUGCUCUUCCAUUGCGCCUCUGCAUUUCAGGGAGCAGAUUCUGUAGAGUGCUCCAAAAUGAUAAUGAAGUCAAUGAUGAAGCAACGGGGACUUUAAGUAGUUAACGUCCCUCUGUAAGUGCCAAAAUCACUGUAUCAGGGAUUUGUCCACACAAGGAAUUCAGCUUUUUAUUUCUUACAAAUAAUGUGCUGCCAUGAAGAGAAACACAAAUACUCAUUCUGAAAUACUCUAUAGCAAAAUCUGCAAAGCUUAACAUCUGCAAAUUUUCUCCUUAACAUCUAUUUUUCAUAUGCUCCAUUGCUCCUUUUUAUUUUUGAAUAAUAAAAAAAUGCAAAAGAAAAUAACAGCAAAUUAAGCAGAGAUCCAGAAUUGGCAUGCAAAAUACCUGGUGUUUUCAACCAACAUUUAUCUUCACCCCAUUGUGGAGAGCUCAAUAAAUGCUAUUUGAAUAUGUUAUCAAUCAUCUAACAUAUUAGCGUGGAGAGAUGAUGCCAAACUGCUUUCACCUUUAAAAUACCUAAUUCUGGAAAGGACACGUGACUGUACAUAAAACAACCUCAUUUUCCCCCAUUAAUUAGACCUGGGCAGAUCAUUUAAUGGCAGGAAAUUAUGAUGGAGUUCAUUUUAUCAUUUAGCAGUUCAAUUAUACAGCAAUUCACAUAUAUAGGCAUAUAUGUGUUACUAUAUAUGCAU